CAAUAGCGUAUAUUAAAGUUGUUGCAGUUAAAAAGCUCGUAGUUGGAUUUCUGGUCGGAAGCUCCUGUCCUCUGAUGAGCGUACAAGUGCGUCCUACCAUCCUUCUGUCAACCUUUAAGGCUUUCGCGGCUUUCUAGGGGCUCAGAUAUUUUACCUUGAGAAAAUUAGAGUGUUUCAGGCAGGCUAGCGCCGGAAUACAUUAGCAUGGAAUAAUGGAAUAGGACUUUUGCCUCUUCUGUUGGUCAUGAGGCUCGAGUAAUGAUUAAUAGGGAUAGUUGGGGGCAUUAGUACUUAACUGUCAGAGGUGAAAUUCUCGGAUUUGUUAAAGACUAACUUAUGCGAAAGCAUUUGCCAAGGAUGUUUUCAUUAA
rnacentral:rRNA from 1 species